GACGAACGCUGGCGGCGUGCUUAACACAUGCAAGUCGAACGGAAAGGCCUGCUUUCCUUUGUGGACUGCGGGUACUCGAGUGUCGAUCGGGUGAGUAACACGUGAGUGAUCUGUUCCCAACUUGGGUAUAAGCCUGGGCAACUGGGUCUUAUUCCCGCUAGGACUGCAGGGUGGUGUCUGUGGUGGAAAACGAUGUUGUAGUGGUCGGGGAUGAGCUCGCGGCAUGUUAGCUUGUUGGUGGGGUAAUGGUCUACCACGGCGGCGACGGGUAGCCGGCCUGGGAGGGAGGACGGCCACAUUUGGACUGAGAUACGGCCCAUACGCCUACGGUGGGCAGCAGUGGGGAGUAGGGCACAAUGAACGGAAGCCUAAGGCAGCGACGCCGCGUGGGGGAUGCCGCCCGUCGGGUGAUAACCUCCUUUCGGCCGCGCGGAAUCCACCUGGUUGGAAGGGUGGUGACGGUAGUGGUAGAAGAAGCACCGGCUAACUACGUG
rnacentral:rRNA from 1 species